GACGAACGCUGGCGGCGUGCUUAACACAUGCAAGUCGAACGGUAAGGCUCCAGCUUGCUGGGGUACACGAGUGGCGAACGGGUGAGUAACACGUGGGUGACCUGCCCUGCACUUCGGGAUAAGCCUGGGAAACUGGGUCUAAUACCGGAUAGGACCGCACCGUGAGGGUGUGGUGGAAAGUUUUUUCGGUGUGGGAUGGGCCCGCGGCCUAUCAGCUUGUUGGUGGGGUAAUGGCCUACCAAGGCGGCGACGGGUAGCCGGCCUGAGAGGGUGGACGGCCACAUUGGGACUGAGACACGGCCCAGACUCCUACGGGAGGCAGCAGUGGGGAAUAUUGCACAAUGGGCGGAAGCCUGAUGCAGCGACGCCGCGUGGGGGAUGACGGCCUUCGGGUUGUAAACUCCUUUCACCAUCGACGAAGGGUUUCUGACGGUAGAUGGAGGAGAAGCACCGGCUAACUACGUGCCAGCAGCCGCGGUAAUACGUAGGGUGCGAGCGUUGUCCGGAAUUACUGGGCGUAAAGAGCUCGUAGGUGGUUUGUCGCGUCGUCUGUGAAAUUCCGGGGCUUAACUCCGGGCGUGCAGGCGAUACGGGCAUAACUUGAGUACUGUAGGGGAGACUGGAAUUCCUGGUGUAGCGGUGAAAUGCGCAGAUAUCAGGAGGAACACCGGUGGCGAAGGCGGGUCUCUGGGCAGUAACUGACGCUGAGGAGCGAAAGCAUGGGGAGCGAACAGGAUUAGAUACCCUGGUAGUCCAUGCCGUAAACGGUGGGCGCUAGGUGUGGGUUUCCUUCCACGGGAUCCGUGCCGUAGCUAACGCAUUAAGCGCCCCGCCUGGGGAGUACGGCCGCAAGGCUAAAACUCAAAGGAAUUGACGGGGGCCCGCACAAGCGGCGGAGCAUGUGGAUUAAUUCGAUGCAACGCGAAGAACCUUACCUGGGCUUGACAUAUACAGGAUCGCGCCAGAGAUGGUGUUUCCCUUGUGGCUUGUAUACAGGUGGUGCAUGGUUGUCGUCAGCUCGUGUCGUGAGAUGUUGGGUUAAGUCCCGCAACGAGCGCAACCCUUGUCUUAUGUUGCCAGCACGUUGUGGUGGGGACUCGUAAGAAACUGCCGGGGUUAACUCGGAGGAAGGUGGGGAUGACGUCAAAUCAUCAUGCCCCUUAUGUCCAGGGCUUCACACAUGCUACAAUGGUCGGUACAGUGGGUUGCCAGUCCGUGAGGGCGAGCUAAUCCCGCAAAGCCGGUCUCAGUUCGGAUCGGGGUCUGCAACUCGACCCCGUGAAGUCGGAGUCGCUAGUAAUCGCAGAUCAGCAACGCUGCGGUGAAUACGAUCCCGGGCC
rnacentral:rRNA from 1 species